rnacentral:rRNA from 1 species
AACGAACGCUGGCGGCAGGCCUAACACAUGCAAGUCGAACGCUCCGCAAGGGGGAGUGGCGCACGGGUGAGUAACACGUGGGAACCUACCUUCUGGUACGGAACAACCAAGGGAAACUUUGGCUAAGACCGUAUACGACCUCCGGGUGAAAGAUUGAUCGCCGGAAGAGGGGCCCGCGUCCGAUUAGGUAGUUGGUGAGGUAACGGCUCACCAAGCCUUCGAUCGGUAGCUGGUCUGAGAGGAUGACCAGCCACACUGGGACUGAGACACGGCCCAGACUCCUACGGGAGGCAGCAGUGGGGAAUAUUGGACAAUGGGCGCAAGCCUGAUCCAGCCAUGCCGCGUGAGUGAUGAAGACC